rnacentral:tRNA from 1 species
GGUGGUGUAGCUCAGUGGUAGAGUGUGUGCUUGGCAUUCACAAAGUCCUGGGUUCAAUCCCCAGGGCCUCUG